UUUAAGACUUUUACUGUUACAUGGGAGAACUGUUUACCUGUGAGAUUCAUCUGCCUCUGACUGCUGAAGCACAGUAACUAUUUUACAAUUCAAAUGAAUAAACAGCCUUCAGAUGCCUAGGACUCAAAUCAAAGUGUGGUCUUAACUACCAGGAGCUGGUAUUGUGUGGUCUUCGUUUCUCCUGUGAAUAUAUGAGCAUUGGGUGAAAAGUAUCCCACAGGGUACCUCGACUGAACUUGAGUCUACAAAAUUUUGCGUCUGUUUCCCUGCCACUUCCCAGUCAUCUAAUGCCACUAUACAGAACUGGGCCCUCGAGGGCACCCAGAGAGACAAACAGCUUGAUACUUGCUCAGAUGCCCAUGUCAGCUCCUGUGAGUUUUACGGAUAAGCAGGCAUCUCCCUUGACCUGCACUUCCUAUGCUGACUACUUGCUCUCUGACAGAUUGAAG